CCAACGGCCCUCUUUAGGGCCACCAAUACAAUGUUUUUUUUUUCA
rfam:Strongyloides stercoralis strain PV0001 genome assembly, scaffold: SSTP_contig0000002